AUCAGUUUCAUACAUGCCAACUUUCCCGAUUUAGGCGGGAUCUUCCCGAUUUUACCCUCCGGUCCCGCUUUCCCGAUCGGGAAAGCAAAAUUACCCUAAAAUCCCGAUUUGAAAUUUUUUCCGACCAAAAUUUCCGAUUUCACGAUUGAAAACGAGUUUGAAAGCGGGAUAAUCGUGAAAUCUCGUGACCAGAAUUGGAAAUCCCGCGUCAUUUCUGAACUGGCCAAUCAGAAAUCGGGACAAUAGUCAGCCAUUGCUGUUUACCUGUGUCGCAUGGUGUCGGGUUGGUCUGCCUGUGUCGGGGUGUUUAUUGGACAGUGCGAAGCAUGUUUUGAUAGUAAUUAAUCGGGAAGACGGAUUUCAAAUUGACCUAUUCUUUACACAAACGUGAAUGACAACGAUGCUAGUGUCACCACCAAACAAUCGGACAUUCCGCCUCUCGCUGACAGCAUCCAAAAUUUGCAAUAAGAUGUCAUGGGUGCAAAGGUUUUGUUCGCAAACUUCAUAGCAGGGCAGAUCACUCCUUUUUUGGUUGCAAUGCAGAUUAUUCCACCAGUCUCUGCAAGCCCAUGUUUACAGACAAGCAAGAUCGCCUUUGCAGUCGUACCUAAAUGCAUGUGCUUUAAUUUAAAUUUUGAUAUAUAGACCGACCAAUGUUUAUUGUAUGGUGUAAAAGGAUGCAACCUUAAAUAUUAUUUGAUAUUAUGUAUGUGACUUGUUGGAGAAGAUUUUUUGCUGAAUAGAUGAUUUUAAUAAAAUAUUAAUGUAUAUC